rnacentral:rRNA from 1 species
UACAGAGGGUGCAAGCGUUAAUCGGAAUUACUGGGCGUAAAGCGUGCGUAGACGGUUAUGUAAGUCAGAUGUGAAAGCCCCGGGCUCAACCUGGGAAUUGCAUUUGAGACUGCAUAGCUAGGGUGCGGAAGAGGGAAGCGGAAUUUCCGGUGUAGCGGUGAAAUGCGUAGAUAUCGGGAAGGAACACCAGUGGCGAAAGCGGCUUCCUGGUCCAGCACCGACGUCAGGCACGAAAGCGUGGGGAGCAACAGGAU